UAUCCAUUACCAUGGCUAUGGCCUUCCCCUGCAAUGCUUCUUCUUUCACUUUCUACGGCGACAGCAGCAGCGGCGAUAAACAGUAUUUUCAUUCUCUCUCUCUCUCUCUCAGAUUGUAAUUGUAUUCCCAUCCGCUGCAGGGAAAGAGAAGCAGAGGAGAUACCGUCCAAGGGUCCUCAAGCCUCUAAAUUACUUAUCAAAUCUAUGGGAAUCCCAUCGAUUACUGGCUUACAACACGAAUCCUUCCGGAAAGGGUUUGGGUUAAGCUUAUCUGUGGCGCCAGCUUCCAGGUUAGCGUACCAUUAAUGGUGAUUCAACUGUAGCUACAAUUAACAGAAAUUCUCAAUUAUGGAUCCCCAUCUAAACUGCUAUAAUCAAUGGAAGGUUCACACCAAGCUUUAAUUGGUGACAUAGCUUAUGGUGGCUA